GAGUUUGGUGGCAAGAAAUUCGAGAAAUUUCUGAAACUUAGAGUAAAGUAAGCAAAAUUAGAGAAGGAAAUGAAAUGCUUUGAUGGAAGAAUCACAAACUUGUUCUAGGUUUUUUUCAUGUUUUGGACGUGGACAUGAAAAACAUAGGUUCUUUCUAAUUUAGCAAAAAUUAUUUUCACUCAUAUUUAAUCUUUUGUCUUGUUUAAUCU
rnacentral:lncRNA from 1 species